UCGGAGCGACCAACGUUAGGUUUUGACGUAAUGAUUCCAGGGCACUCUCGGUACCCAGUGUCUAUCUCUCAUUCCCACUUCACUUCAGACCCCCGGUUCGUUUAUUCCCCUCCCGAGCAAUAAGAUCGGGCUAUCUCGCAGGCGCUAACACUCUUGCGUUAGUUUGCUAGUGUCUUAGCGAGGGAAAGGUGAACUGCGCGUGCCGCAAGCGCCAUGUUCUUAGGUCUCCGCACGCUGAGUGAUGAUGUAGAUUAUAGCGAAAACAAGCAUGUGUGUCCAUGGUUGAUGCACUUUCUGUCAUCGCGACCGGCAGUCACUUGUUUGGCGGCGAACCUACAGCUUCUGUCUAGCCAAAAGCUCAUGGCAUGGGUAUAGAGGUCCAGCCCGUCCCCUGCUUCGUUCUGGAUAAUAAGGUUCAUGAACGUCUUUGUACUAAUACGGUUUUUUUUCCUCUGGACGACGAAAGAGAAGGUCAUCAAUUAAGAAAAAAAAAACAUCUUUGAAAAAGAAAUCCCUGGCAGCAUAUAAAUAUAAACGAUUGGUGAAGUUGUUGUAACUAAUGCUAUUGUGUUGUCGAUUAAAUAAAGCUGUAAAACGUACGAAUGAA
rnacentral:misc_RNA from 1 species